rnacentral:rRNA from 1 species
ACGAUCUCUGCGGAGUUAGUGGCGGACGGGUGAGUAACACGUGGGAACGUGCCUUUUGGUUCGGAAUAACUCAGGGAAACUUGUGCUAAUACCGAAUGUGCCCUUCGGGGGAAAGAUUUAUCGCCAUUAGAGCGGCCCGCGUCUGAUUAGCUAGUUGGUGAGGUAAAGGCUCACCAAGGCUACGAUCAGUAGCUGGUCUGAGAGGAUGACCAGCCACAUUGGGACUGAGACACGGCCCAAACUCCUACGGGAGGCAGCAGUGGGGAAUCUUGCGCAAUGGGCGAAAGCCUGACGCAGCCAUGCCGCGUGAAUGAUGAAGGUCUUAGGAUUGUAAAAUUCUUUCACCGGGGACGAUAAUGACGGUACCCGGAGAAGAAGCCCCGGCUAACUUCGUGCCAGCAGCCGCGGUAAUACGAAGGGGGCUAGCGUUGCUCGGAAUUACUGGGCGUAAAGGGAGCGUAGGCGGACAUUUAAGUCAGGGGUGAAAUCCCAGAGCUCAACUCUGGAACUGCCUUUGAUACUGGGUGUCUUGAGUGUGAGAGAGGUAUGUGGAACUCCGAGUGUAGAGGUGAAAUUCGUAGAUAUUCGGAAGAACACCAGUGGCGAAGGCGACAUACUGGCUCAUUACUGACGCUGAGGCUCGAAAGCGUGGGGAGCAAACAGGAUUAGAUACCCUGGUAGUCCACGCCGUAAACGAUGAUUGCUAGUUGUCGGCGGAGAUUACUUUCUCGGUGACGCAGCUAACGCAUUACAGCAAUCCCGCCUGGGGAGUACGGUACGCAAGAAUACAACUCAAAGGAUUUGACGGG